rnacentral:rRNA from 1 species
UAACAACAGAUGAUGCCUAUCAACUGUUUAAAGAUGUCUGCUAUCACUCUUGGAUGGACCUGCGGUGCAUUAGCUAGUUGGUAGGGGUAACGGGCCUACCAAGGCGAUGAUGCAUAGCCCGAGUUGAGAGACUGAUCGGGCCACAUUGGGACUGAGACACGGGCCCAAACUCCUACGGGAGGCAGCAGUAGGGGGAAUCUUCCACAAUGGACGCAAAGUCUGAUGGAGCAAAACGCCGCGUGAGUGAAGAAGGGUUUCGGCUCGUAAAAGCUCUGUUGUUGGUGAAGAAGGACAGGGGUAGUAACUGACCCUUUGUUUGACGGUAAUCAAUUUAGAAAGUCACGGGCUAACUACGUGCCCAGCAGCCGCGGUAAAU